rnacentral:lncRNA from 1 species
UAGAAAAUCAAGUUUCUAUUUUAGAAAUAGGAAAAAAACAGCACAUAAUUAAAUUAAACUAGUUGUCCCACAAAGCUGAGAUCAUAAAUUAAUAUUGCACCCCACCACUCUUCCAUAGUAACUCUUUUCAUGUGAUCUCUAUUCUUGGCUCUUCUCUUCUGCUACCUCAGUCGGUUUCUCUUCUUCAAUUGCUUUCUCUUCUUCCACCUGAGGUUUGGCCUCCGCCUCGACCUCGGCUGCUGGAGACUCCUCAACCUUUGCACUUUCUUCGGCUUCGGGCACCGCUUCUUCUUUUUCUUCUGAUUCAGUUGCCACUACUGUUUCUUCCUUCUUUUCUUGACCCUCUUCAACUUUGGAUUCCUCUACAGGAGCCUCCGUGGAUUCCUCUACCUGCAGGGAUGAAACCAUUACGUACAUAAUUUUACUUAGAAGAACCAAAUUAUUUUCUACUUACUCUCACUUUUCAUAUCACUAUAAUCUCUUUUUCAAUCCUAUAACUUUUAUCAAAGAAACUUUUAGGCUUUAUUCCUUUUCAUUUCUUAUUAACUCUACCUGAUCUGGCUCUAGAGCUUCAGGUUUGGGUUCUUCUAAGUUGGCUGGCUCAACCUCUGGAUCUGCCUCGAUGACCGGCUGUUCUUCAGAGGAUUUUUUCUCAACCUUCACCACCUCCACCGUUUCUGGCAAUGAUGCAGCUGAUUCAACCUACAAAAUCAGAUGCGUUGCAGUGUAUGAUCAAUAUCAACAUAACUCAACUAACAUAACAAUGACAAUAUUUAUCAUGAUUGUCAAAUAUGUGAAUGAACCUCAUCUCAUUUUCUAAAGGAAAAAAAAUUGGAAUUCUUGACUUGCAUGUGCCAUGAAGAGAAAGAAGAUGGCAAAUUAUCCCAAAAUAAUAAUAAUAAUAAAGAAGAAGAAGAACAUUAAAAGAAAUAAUUUCCAAUAUUAGGAAAAAAUAAAGCAUAAAACUUAAAGUCAAGGUUAUGGUUAUGAUAUGAAAAAUUGUGAGUACUCCAUGAAGCCUCAGAUGAAUUAGAUGUGUUAACAUAACAGGACCCCGUGGUAGUGGAAAUUAAGCUUGCGAUCGACGAUCUGAUUACGUUUUAGUUGUUUAAAGCAAAAAUUGAUGUAGUGAUUUUUGAAGAGAGAGAGAGAAAGAAAAGGGUUACCUCA